rnacentral:piRNA from 1 species
UUAUGUUCUCUAUAUUCUGGUCCUGGCUCU